rnacentral:rRNA from 1 species
GGGCCCGCACAAGCGGUGGAGCAUGUGGCUUAAUUCGAGGCAACGCGAAGAACCUUACCUGGUCUUGACAUGCCCGUCAUAGUUUUCCGAAAGGAAUUCGUCAGUUCGGCUGGACGGUGCACAGGUGCUGCAUGGCUGUCGUCAGCUCGUGUCGUGAGAUGUUCGGUUAAGUCCGGCAACGAGCGCAACCCCUCGUUCCUAGUUGCCAGCGGGUAAUGCCGGGGACUCUAGGAAGACAAACCUCGUGUAGAGGUGGGAAGGUGGGACGACGUCAAGUCAGUAUGGCCCUUACGACCAGGGCUGCACACGUGCUACAAUGCCCAGCACAAUGGGAUGCAACGCCGCGAGGUUGAGCAAAUCCACAAAACUGGGCCCC